CAGGGUUCGAUUCCGGAGAGGAGCAUGAGAAUGGCUACCACAUCUACGGAAGGCAGCAGGCGCGACAAAUUACCCACUCUAGAACGGGAGGUAGUGACGAAAAAUAACAAUACCGGACUCAAUGAGGCUCGGUAAUUGAAAUGAGUACAGUUUAAAACCCUUAACGAGGAUCUAUUGGAGGGCAAGUCUGGUGCCAGCAGCCGCGGUAAUUCCAGCUCCAAUAGCGUAUAUUAAAGUUGUUGCAGUUAAAAAGCUCGUAGUUGGAUCUCGGGUACUAGCAUGUGGUACGCUUAACUGCGUUACUACAUGUCUGGUCCUAAUCAACCGGUUGGCCGUUGAUGCCCUUUAUUGGGUGUUUUCGGUAGCCGGUACGUUUACUUUGAGAAAAUUAGAGUGCUUAAAGCAGGCCUUACGCCUGAAUAAUGUUGCAUGGAAUAAUAGAAUAGGACCUCGGUUCUAUUUUGUUGGUUUUGUAGAGCAUUGAGGUAAUGAUUAAUAGGGAC
rnacentral:rRNA from 1 species